GCUCUAUGCGGGAAGAAUAACCACGGUAACCUGUGGCUAAGAGUGUAGAAUAAGGUGCAAUCCUAUUAGUUUGUUGGUAGUGUAAAGGACUACCAAGGCAGUGAUGGGUAACGGGAAAUCAGGGUUUGAUUCCGGAGAGGGAGCCUGAGAGAUGGCUCCCACGUCCAAGGAUGGCAGCAGGCGCGAAAAUUGUCCACUCUUUUGAGAGGAGACAGUUAUGAAACGUGAGUAGAAGGGUCGAGUGUAAAAACCUUGACGUGAAGCAAUUGGAGGGCAAGUUUUGGUGCCAGCAGCCGCGGUAAUUCCAACUCCAAGAGUGUCUAUGGUGGAUGCUGCAGUUAAAGGGUCCGUAGUCGUAGAUGCAAUUAAAAGGUGGUGUUAAAAGCCAUUGAGUUUGUUGAGAGUAGCGGAACGGAUAGGGAGCAUGGUAUAGGUGGGCAAAGAAUGAAAUCUCAAGACCCCACCUGGACCAACGGAGGCGAAAGCGAUGCUCUUAGACGUAUCUGGGGAUCAAGGACGAAGGCUAGAGUAUCGAAAGUGAUUAGACACCGCUGUAGUUCUAGCAGUAAACUAUGCCGACAAUGCUGGGUGUUGCGAGAGCGAUGCUUGGUGUGGGAGAAAUCUUAGUUUUCGGGCUCUGGGGAUAGUACGCUCGCAAGGGUGAAACUUAAAGCGAAAUUGACGGAAGGACACUACCAGGAGUGGAUUGUGCUGCUUAAUUUAACUCAACGCGGGAAAACUUACCAGGGUCAAGUCUAUCGUAGAUUGGAGACAUGAGGUAGACAAGAGUGGUGCAUGGCCGUUGGAAAUUGAUGGGGCGACUUUUAGCUUAAGUGCUGGAACCAGUGAGAUCUUCUAGACAGGUGUUAUUUAGGCACAGGAGGGAGAAGGCAAUAACAGGUCCGUGAUGCCCUUAGAUAUCCUGGGCAGCAAGCGCAAUACAAUAUCUCUUGAGAAGACAAAGCAAUUUGAGAUGAGUAGGAUUAGCUUUUGUAAAUAAGCUAUGAAUGAG
rnacentral:rRNA from 1 species